AUAGCUGCCAUCGCUGCGUGCCAUAGCUGCACCCUACAGACCUGAAACAGCCUGUCUAGCGAGGUGGGUAACAAGUCCUCUGAGCCGGAGAGUGAAACUGAACUGAAAAAAUGCAACCAAACCAAAGACGGCUGCAAAAAACCUGCUGUCCUGCCUUCUUUUGCCCGUUUUCUGGGAUAGAGAAGUGGAUGGCUACUGGUAGACUUGAGAAGAAAAUCUGAAGGCAUUCCCCAUCUCCCAGAAUGUGUCCCAGAGCUGGAGCCAAUUCCGUUGCUGAGAUGCUGCAUUUCUCACCUUCUGAUUGCAAUUAGCCAUUGCCAGCUGGGGCCUGGUGAGCUGCUGAAGAGCUAACAAGAAGCGGAGACCAGCAUGAGGCCUCGGCAGCGCGUAUGCUGGGAAUGAACAAGAAAUGCGGCGCUGUGUUCCUGAGGCGGCUCCACCACAAAACAAGGUUCCCAUGUCCCCGCGUGUGUGUCAAAGUCUGCUUUUGGAGGCUCAGCUUGCUCCUCACGCUCUUACACAUUGCCAUCACGUUUGCCAGAAAGGAAAU